rnacentral:rRNA from 1 species
GAUGAACGCUGGCGGCGUGCCUAAUACAUGCAAGUCGAGCGAACGGACGAGAAGCUUGCUUCUCUGAUGUUAGCGGCGGACGGGUGAGUAACACGUGGAUAACCUACCUAUAAGACUGGGAUAACUUCGGGAAACCGGAGCUAAUACCGGAUAAUAUUUUGAACCGCAUGGUUCAAAAGUGAAAGACGGUCUUGCUGUCACUUAUAGAUGGAUCCGCGCUGCAUUAGCUAGUUGGUAAGGUAACGGCUUACCAAGGCAACGAUGCAUAGCCGACCUGAGAGGGUGAUCGGCCACACUGGAACUGAGACACGGUCAAGACUCCUACGGGAGGAAGCAGUAGGGAAUCUUCCGCAAUGGGCGAAAGCCUGACGGAGCAACGACGCGUGAGUGAUGAAGGUCUUCGGAUCGUAAAACUCUGUUAUUAGGGAAGAACAUAUGUGUAAGUAACUGUGCACAUCUUGACGGUACCUAAUCAGAAAGCCACGGCUAACUACGUG